rnacentral:rRNA from 14 species
UGACUCGUUCAUACUACAGUGGCCACACCAGAUCCCAUCAGAACUCUGAAGUUAAGCACUGUAAGGCUUGGCUAGUACUGAGGUGGGAGACCGCUCGGGAACACCAGGUGAUGAGUCAU